ACGUAGGUGGCAAGCGUUAUCCGGAAUUACUGGGCGUAAAGGGCGUGUAGGCGGGAAGACAAGUCGGGAGUGAAAUCCCAGGGCUUAACCCUGGAGCUGCUUCCGAAACUGUUUUUCUUGAGUAUCGGAGAGGAAAGUGGAAUUCCCAGUGGAGCGGUGAGAUGCGUAUUGAUUGGGAGGAGCAGCAGUGGCGUAGGCGACUUUCUGGACGAUUACUGAGGCUGAGGCGGAAAAGCGUGGGGAGCAAACAG
rnacentral:rRNA from 1 species